rnacentral:rRNA from 1 species
UACGUAUGGUGCAAGCGUUAUCCGGAUUUACUGGGUGUAAAGGGAGCGCAGGCGGCACGGCAAGCCUGAUGUGAAAGCCCGCGGCCCAACCGCGGGACUGCAUUGGGAACUACCGGGCUGGAGUGCCGGAGAGGUAGGCGGAAUUCCUAGUGAAGCGGUGAAAUGCGUAGAUAUUAGGAGGAACACCAGUGGCGAAGGCGGCCUACUGGACGGUGACUGACGCUGAGGCUCGAAAGCGUGGGGAGCAAACAGG